UACGGAAGGUGCAAGCAUUAAUCGGAUUUAUUGGGCGUAAAGGGCGCGUAGGCGGGCUAGCAAGUCAGAUGUGAAAUUUCGGGGCUCAACCCCGAAGCUGCAUUUGAAACUACUGGUCUUGAGGGUAGGCGGAGAAAAUGGAAUUCCACGUGUAGCGGUGAAAUGCGUAGAUACGUGGAGGAACACCGGUGGCGAAAGCGGUUUUCUAGCUUAUACCUGACGCUGAGGCGCGAGAGCAAGGGGAGCAAACAGG
rnacentral:rRNA from 1 species